GACGAAUGCUGGCGGCGCGCUUAACACAUGCAAGUCGAGCGAGAACCGGUCCUUCGGGACCGGGGAAAGCGGCGAACGGGUGAGUAACACGUGGGUAAUCUGCCCUCGGCAUCGGGAUAGCCCGGGGAAACCCGGAUUAAUACCGAAUGGCCCUUUCGGUCUUCGGAUUGAAAGGAAAAGGUAGCUUCGGCCUCCGACCGAGGAUGAGCCCGCGGCGGAUUAGCUUGUUGGUGGGGUAACGGCCUACCAAGGCGACGAUCCGUAGCUGGUCUGAGAGGACGAUCAGCCACACUGGGACUGAGACACGGCCCAGACUCCUACGGGAGGCAGCAGUGGGGAAUCUUGCGCAAUGGGCGAAAGCCUGACGCAGCGACGCCGCGUGCGGGAAGAAGGCCUUCGGGUUGUAAACCGCUUUCAGGUGGGACGAAGCCACUCGGGUGAAUAGCCUAGAGGGUGACGGUACCUCCAGAAGAAGUCCCGGCUAACUACGUGCCAGCAGCCGCGGUAAUACGUAGGGGACUAGCGUUGUCCGGAUUUAUUGGGCGUAAAGAGCGUGUAGGCGGCCAAAUAGGUCGGUUGUGAAAACUGGAGGCUUAA
rnacentral:rRNA from 1 species